AAAUUGAAGAGUUUGAUCAUGGCUCAGAUUGAACGCUGGCGGCAGGCCUAACACAUGCAAGUCGAACGGUAACAGGAAGCAGCUUGCUGCUUCGCUGACGAGUGGCGGACGGGUGAGUAAUGUCUGGGAAACUGCCUGAUGGAGGGGGAUAACUACUGGAAACGGUGGCUAAUACCGCAUAACGUCGCAAGACCAAAGAGGGGGACCUUCGGGCCUCUUGCCAUCAGAUGUGCCCAGAUGGGAUUAGCUUGUUGGUGAGGUAACGGCUCACCAAGGCGACGAUCCCUAGCUGGUCUGAGAGGAUGACCAGCCACACUGGAACUGAGACACGGUCCAGACUCCUACGGGAGGCAGCAGUGGGGAAUAUUGCACAAUGGGCGCAAGCCUGAUGCAGCCAUGCCGCGUGUAUGAAGAAGGCCUUCGGGUUGUAAAGUACUUUCAGCGGGGAGGAAGGUGUUGUGGUUAAUAACCACAGCAAUUGACGUUACCCGCAGAAGAAGCACCGGCU
rnacentral:rRNA from 2 species